CCUGACCCGCUUUGCAAGCUGAAUCUUAAAGAGACUUCUGAGUUUGUGAAGUCACUGCCUAUGCCGGCGGUUUCAAAUGCGGUUCCUGCUCAGAGGAGGAGAGAUGGAAACUCAGUUACGCAGAGGAGAAUGGAGGCUCCAUCUACACCUGGUAGACCAGUUUUCAGUUUUAAUGCAGGGAAUUUAUCCAGAAAAAGUUUCCCUUCAAAGUGGGAUGAUGCAGAGAAAUGGGUAAUAAGCAAUUCUUGUCAUGAUUCUCCUGCUCAUUCCAUCAAACCACCGCCUCAAUCAUACAAACAAUAUGAUAGCUUUAAGCAUAGAAUGGAGGUGGUGGUGGCAGAGAAAUCACGGGUGACGGAGGAAAAAGUCUCCAAGAUUGUCUCAACUUUCCGAGGAUCUGUAACUUUGGACCACCGCCAUCACAAUCCUGCAAGCACUUUUAAUGGGGUCUCAGCCUCAAGUGAUGUACUUUUAAAAGGUAAAAUCUUUAUUUGAACUAUAAUUAUCUCACCCCUUUUGACUUUUCUCUCUUCUCCUCAAGUUUGUCUCUUUCUUUUCUCUUCCUGCCUUUUGAAACCCUAAUAAAGCAUUGAACUUCGCUACCCAGAUGUUAUUAUUCACUGGCUUUUCUUUCUUCUACUCAAACUUUUUCUCUUUCCUCUUUCUUCCUGCCUUUUGAAACCCUAAUAAAACAUUGAACUUUUCUAUACCCAGAUGUUAUUAUUCACUACUAUAUAUGCUCAAGAACUCUGCUUUUCCUUUCAAGAAGAUUCAACUCAUAUUGAAAAUUAGUCUUUCAAGCUAGUUAUUUAACUUUGUUAAUGGCUGUAGAUAAGUUCACAGACGAAGUAGAACCAGUUUUACCCGAUUAUCAAUACUCAGAGCCAUCAAAAGAAGGGUUUCUUUUCCGAAACUCAGCCCGGGGAGCCAUGAAAGAUGCAGGCACUGAGGUACAACACAGAGAUAUUGGAACAGAGAUGACACCUCUUGGCAGCUCCACCACUUCAAGAUGCCACACCCCUUUCAAGAGUUCAUCGCCUGCACGUCAUAACACGCCGGCAAAUAGAUCUGGUCCAUUGGCAUUAACUCACCCAACUAGCCCCAACAGCACCAUUGACAUUGCUCAUUUUCAAGAAUGCCAUUUAGCCAAGCUACAAGUUGGCACUCAGUAUGAUUCUAUCACAUCAAAUUGGAGCUCAAGGGAAGAGGAAGAAGAAGAAAUAUCAAAGAGUCUCAGACAUUUUGAAACAGGAAGUGGGCGCAGAACAAGUGUUUCAGAUUCAAGACUUUCUACUUGGGUUGAUGAGGAGAAGACUAAGUGUUGCCUGAGGUAUGGUAAAUUCUUAAAGGGUACAUUUUAAUCAUGUAAAAAUUUUGAGGGUUUAGGCUGUUUUUCUCAGAUACCAGAGAGAAGAAGCAAAGAUCCAAGCUUGGUUAAAUCUUCAAACUGCAAANNNNNNNNNNNNNNNNNNNNNNNNNNNNNNNNNNNNNNNNNNNNNNNNNNNNNNNNNNNNNNNNNNNNNNNNNNNNNNNNNNNNNNNNNNNNNNNNNNNNNNGCGCAUUUUUAUGUAUUUUUAUUUAAAAAUUACCUUAAAAAUAUUUUUUUAUUAAAAGAUUAUAUUGUGUGUCAUCUAAUCAAUAUACCCACAAAAAAUGAGAUGACUAUGCCCUAUGAGCAUGAAGACAAACACAGGACACAGCCUUAACAUUGGCAACUUAUGAAAAACACCCUUGAUAUUCAUUAUUUACAAUAGGCAAAUUUUAAAACUAGAAGACUAAAAAGCUUCCCAAAAAGGGUUCAGAAAAAAUGAAACAGGAAAGAUUUUUCAAAAACUAACCACUUACAUUAUAUCUCUAUUCUUAGGCGGAGGACCCAUUAGACUAUAGUAUAAUCUCUCUGUUCCAUUCCCUCUUCCAAUAACUCUCCACCUCUUUUCCCCCAAGUACUGUUUCGUCUUCUUCUUCCCCAUUUUCUCAAACAAGGCAAGAGCUACAACAUAAUAUCAGUCGUUAUUGUUGUUCUAUUUUAGAAUUAGGGAGUUUAAAGCUCGCUCUUCACUGCAUUGCCUUGUCUAGCUAUACUGUUCUACUGCAAUCUCUCAUGACAAUAUCACUGUUUUCGAUCAAAAUGAUGCGGGCGUAAGCUAUGGAUCUUACAAGUCCCAACUACUUUCAGUCUCCUUCUCUGUUUUCAUCUAAUGGGGUAAGUAAAGAUAAUAACUUUUAGUAAAGAUAAGAACUUUUAGUUUGAUUCUUUUCUGCUCGCAGUUUUCCCCAAUUGGGUUCUGGUUCAUUUUUGUUGUUAAGGAUAUACAAGCACCGCCAUUCUUGUUGCAGGGUAGUCCGAGCUUCUAUGGGAGAAGUGAAGGAAACCCAUUUGCUGCAGAAAACUUCCCUGACCCGCUUUGCAAGCUGAAUCUUAAAGAGACUUCUGAGUUUGUGAAGUCACUGCCUAUGCCGGCGGUUUCAAAUGCGGUUCCUGCUCAGAGGAGGAGAGAUGGAAACUCAGUUACGCAGAGGAGAAUGGAGGCUCCAUCUACACCUGGUAGACCAGUUUUCAGUUUUAAUGCAGGGAAUUUAUCCAGAAAAAGUUUCCCUUCAAAGUGGGAUGAUGCAGAGAAAUGGGUAAUAAGCAAUUCUUGUCAUGAUUCUCCUGCUCAUUCCAUCAAACCACCGCCUCAAUCAUACA
rnacentral:lncRNA from 1 species